rnacentral:misc_RNA from 1 species
AAGUCGUAACAAGGUUUCCGUAGGUGAACCUGCGGAAGGAUCAUUAGUGAAUUAUAGCGCACCUUUUUAACAAGGGCGUGACCUCUCACUUUUCAAACUCUGUGCACUUUUUUUUGGCAAGUUUUUAUCGGGAGUUCAUUAGUAAAAUUUUGAAAUCCUAAUUAAAUUUGCGGCUCAUUUUUAAUAAACACUAAAGUCAAAGUAUGUAAAUGAAAUUUUAUAAUUAAUAAAAAACUUUCAACAACGGAUCUCUUGGCUCUC